rnacentral:tRNA from 1 species
CCCUGGUUAGCUCAGUUGCUAUUGCGCUCCACUGGAAAUGAAGAAGCCCCUGGUUCAAUACCAGCACCAGGAG